rnacentral:rRNA from 1 species
UUAAGCGACUAAGCGUACACGGUGGAUGCCCUGGCAGUCAGAGGCGAUGAAGGACGUGCUAAUCUGCGAAAAGCGCCGGCGAGGUGAUAUGAACCUUUGACCCGGCGAUGUCCGAAUGGGGAAACCCAGUGUGUUCCGACACACUAUCGUUAACUGAAUACAUAGGUUAACGAGGCGAACCGGGGGAACUGAAACAUCUAAGUACCCCGAGGAAAAGAAAUCAACCGAGAUUCCCCCAGUAGCGGCGAGCGAACGGGGAGCAGCCCGGAGUCUGAAUCAGCUUGUGUGUUAGUGGAACGGUCUGGAAAGUCCGACGGUACAGGGUGAUAGUCCCGUACACGAAAAUGCACAGGCUGUGAACUCGAAGAGUAGGGCGGGACACGUGGUAUCCUGUCUGAAUAUGGGGGGACCAUCCUCCAAGGCUAAAUACUCCUGACUGACCGAUAGUGAACCAGUACCGUGAGGGAAAGGCGAAAAGAACCCCGGCGAGGGGAGUGAAAAAGAACCUGAAACCGUGUACGUACAAGCAGUGGGAGCCUCUUUAUGGGGUGACUGCGUACCUUUUGUAUAAUGGGUCAGCGACUUAUAUUCUGUAGCAAGGUUAACCGAAUAGGGGAGCCGAAGGGAAACCGAGUCUUAACUGGGCGUUAAGUUGCAGGGUAUAGACCCGAAACCCGGUGAUCUAGCCAUGGGCAGGUUGAAGGUUGGGUAACACUAACUGGAGGACCGAACCGACUAAUGUUGAAAAAUUAGCGGAUGACCUGUGGCUGGGGGUGAAAGGCCAAUCAAACCGGGAGAUAGCUGGUUCUCCCCGAAAGCUAUUUAGGUAGCGCCUCGUGAACUCAUCUUCGGGGGUAGAGCACUGUUUCGGCUAGGGGGCCAUCCCGGCUUACCAACCCGAUGCAAACUACGAAUACCGAAGAAUGUUAUCACGGGAGACACACGGCGGGUGCUAACGUCCGUCGUGAAGAGGGAAACAACCCAGACCGCCAGCUAAGGUCCCAAAGUCAUGGUUAAGUGGGAAACGAUGUGGGAAGGCACAGACAGCCAGGAUGUUGGCUUAGAAGCAGCCAUCAUUUAAAGAAAGCGUAAUAGCUCACUGGUCGAGUCGGCCUGCGCGGAAGAUGUAACGGGGCUAAACCAUGCACCGAAGCUGCGGCAGCGACGCUUAUGCGUUGUUGGGUAGGGGAGCGUUCUGUAAGCCGUUGAAGGUGGCCUGUGAGGGUUGCUGGAGGUAUCAGAAGUGCGAAUGCUGACAUAAGUAACGAUAAAGCGGGUGAAAAGCCCGCUCGCCGGAAGACCAAGGGUUCCUGUCCAACGUUAAUCGGGGCAGGGUGAGUCGACCCCUAAGGCGAGGCCGAAAGGCGUAGUCGAUGGGAAACAGGUUAAUAUUCCUGUACUUGGUGUUACUGCGAAGGGGGGACGGAGAAGGCUAUGUUAGCCGGGCGACGGUUGUCCCGGUUUAAGCAUGUAGGCGGAGGUUCCAGGUAAAUCCGGUACCUUUUAACGCUGAGGUGUGAUGACGAGGCACUACGGUGCUGAAGUAACAAAUGCCCUGCUUCCAGGAAAAGCCUCUAAGCAUCAGGUAACACGAAAUCGUACCCCAAACCGACACAGGUGGUCAGGUAGAGAAUACCAAGGCGCUUGAGAGAACUCGGGUGAAGGAACUAGGCAAAAUGGUGCCGUAACUUCGGGAGAAGGCACGCUGAUAUGUAGGUGAAGCCCCUGCGGGUGGAGCUGAAAUCAGUCGAAGAUACCAGCUGGCUGCAACUGUUUAUUAAAAACACAGCACUGUGCAAACACGAAAGUGGACGUAUACGGUGUGACGCCUGCCCGGUGCCGGAAGGUUAAUUGAUGGGGUUAGCGGUAACGCGAAGCUCUUGAUCGAAGCCCCGGUAAACGGCGGCCGUAACUAUAACGGUCCUAAGGUAGCGAAAUUCCUUGUCGGGUAAGUUCCGACCUGCACGAAUGGCGUAAUGAUGGCCAGGCUGUCUCCACCCGAGACUCAGUGAAAUUGAACUCGCUGUGAAGAUGCAGUGUACCCGCGGCAAGACGGAAAGACCCCGUGAACCUUUACUAUAGCUUGACACUGAACACUGGUCCUUGAUGUGUAGGAUAGGUGGGAGGCUUUGAAGCGUGGACGCCAGUCUGCGUGGAGCCGACCUUGAAAUACCACCCUUUAAUGGCUGGUGUUCUAACGUAGACCCGUAAUCCGGGUUGCGGACAGUGUCUGGUGGGUAGUUUGACUGGGGCGGUCUCCUCCCAAAGAGUAACGGAGGAGCACGAAGGUUAGCUAAUCCUGGUCGGACAUCAGGAGGUUAGUGCAAUGGCAUAAGCUAGCUUGACUGCGAGAGUGACGGCUCGAGCAGGUGCGAAAGCAGGUCAUAGUGAUCCGGUGGUUCUGAAUGGAAGGGCCAUCGCUCAACGGAUAAAAGGUACUCCGGGGAUAACAGGCUGAUACCGCCCAAGAGUUCAUAUCGACGGCGGUGUUUGGCACCUCGAUGUCGGCUCAUCACAUCCUGGGGCUGAAGUAGGUCCCAAGGGUAUGGCUGUUCGCCAUUUAAAGUGGUACGCGAGCUGGGUUUAGAACGUCGUGAGACAGUUCGGUCCCUAUCUGCCGUGGGCGCUGGAGAAUUGAGGGGGGCUGCUCCUAGUACGAGAGGACCGGAGUGGACGCAUCACUGGUGUUCGGGUUGUCAUGCCAAUGGCACUGCCCGGUAGCUAAAUGCGGAAGAGAUAAGUGCUGAAAGCAUCUAAGCACGAAACUUGCCCCGAGAUGAGUUCUCCCUGAGACUAUAAGUCUCCUGAAGGAACGUUGAAGACGACGACGUUGAUAGGUCGGGUGUGUAAGCGCAGCGAUGCGUUGAGCUAACCGAUACUAAUGAACCGUGAGGCUUAACCU